rnacentral:rRNA from 1 species
UACGGGGGGAGCAAGCGUUGUCCGGAUUCAUUGGGCGUAAAGGGCGCGUAGGCGGGUUUGCAAGUGAGGGGUGAAAUCCCGGGGCUUAACUCCGGAAUUGCCUCUCAUACUGCAGGUCUCGAGUGCGGGAGAGGGAGAUGGAAUUCCUGGUGUAGCGGUGGAAUGCGUAGAUAUCAGGAGGAACACCGGUGGCGAAGGCGGUCUCCUGGCCCGUAACUGACGCUGAGGCGCGAAAGCGUGGGGAG